rnacentral:rRNA from 1 species
GUUGGCGAUGUUCCUCCUAAUUGCCUUUCCUACGCGUCCACGCUGCAAUCCAUCUAAACAGAACCAUACAAUCCAGCCUCUCCCCAAUCCUCCUCCUCUCCAACCUUACUAUUUCUGCAAUCUAAGCUGCAAUCCAUGUUGGACGAUGAGAAGGCGGCGCAUCGCAGUGUGAAUCAGUCGUGCUGCCGCCGGAGGCCAGCCUGAUGGCUUCCUUCUCCUCAAUCUAAUCGCUGCCUCAUCUCCACCAAUCUCUGGUGUUGAAAGUGGCUCUCCACCAAUCGUGCCUCAUCUCAAUCCUGUGAUGUUGCGUCCCCAGGAUCUCACCCAUUUGUUCCCCACUGGUCUCGGAUCUAAGUGAUGGUUGCAUCCCGGAUUCCUCUCCAUAGCAGGUAAAUCUGCCCACCUGUACGCC